CCCGGUAAACGGCGGCCGUAACUAUAACGGUCCUAAGGUAGCGAAAUUCCUUGUCGGGUAAGUUCCGACCUGCACGAAUGGCGUAAUGAUGGCCAGGCUGUCUCCACCCGAGACUCAGUGAAAUUGAACUCGCUGUGAAGAUGCAGUGUACCCGCGGCAAGACGGAAAGACCCCGUGAACCUUUACUAUAGCUUGACACUGAACACUGGUCCUUGAUGUGUAGGAUAGGUGGGAGGCUUUGAAGUGUGGACGCCAGUCUGCAUGGAGCCGCCCUUGAAAUACCACCCUUUAAUGGCUGGUGUUCUAACGUGGGCCCGUAAUCCGGGUUGCGGACAGUGUCUGGUGGGUAGUUUGACUGGGGCGGUCUCCUCCUAAAGAGUAACGGAGGAGCACGAAGGUCAGCUAAUCCUGGUCGGACAUCAGGAGGUUAGUGCAAUGGCAUAAGCUGGCUUGACUGCGAGCGUGACGGCGCGAGCAGGUGCGAAAGCAGGUCAUAGUGAUCCGGUGGUUCUGAAUGGAAGGGCCAUCGCUCAACGGAUAAAAGGUACUCCGGGGAUAACAGGCUGAUACCGCCCAAGAGUUCAUAUCGACGGCGGUGUUUGGCACCUCGAUGUCGGCUCAUCACAUCCUGGGGCUGAAGUAGGUCCCAAGGGUAUGGCUGUUCGCCAUUUAAAGUGGUACGCGAGCUGGGUUUAGAACGUCGUGAGACAGUUCGGUCCCUAUCUGCCGUGGGCGCUGGAGAACUGAGGGGGGCUGCUCCUAGUACGAGAGGACCGGAGUGGACGCAUCACUGGUGUUCGGGUUGUCAUGCCAAUGGCACUGCCCGGUAGCUAAAUGCGGAAGAGAUAAGUGCUGAAAGCAUCUAAGCACGAAACUUGCCCCGAGAUGAGUUCUCCCUGACUCCUUGAGAGUCCUGAAGGAACGUUGAAGACGACGACGUUGAUAGGCCGGGUGUGUAAGCGCAGCGAUGCGUUGAGCUAACCGGUACUAAUGAACCGUGAGG
rnacentral:rRNA from 1 species